rnacentral:lncRNA from 1 species
UGGUCAAGUGAGGGCUAAGAAAUGCUAUGCAACAAAAAAUUUCAGAUUGGUUGAGGCAUCAGAAUGCCUCCUGGGGCAUAUGAAGUAUGGGCCAUUGGACAGACAGACCAGUGCUCUUCUAAGAUAAAGAGGGAGCAAGCAAGACAAGUGAUGUUGUCAUCUUGCCCUGUGCAUGUCAGGAUGCCAUCUAAGGAAAAUGUACGGGCCUACAAAUAUACCUAUAAUCAUGAGGAGGUGGAGCAGAAGAGAAGGGAGAAUACCUGGAUCAAAAGGUUAUUGUCAUAAACAAUAUGUUGGAAGACCUGUAUAGUCAGAAAACAUGAAUAUAUUUUGUACACCAG